rnacentral:rRNA from 1 species
GAUAAAAGGUACUCCGGGGAUAACAGGCUGAUACCGCCCAAGAGUUCAUAUCGACGGCGGUGUUUGGCACCUCGAUGUCGGCUCAUCACAUCCUGGGGCUGAAGUAGGUCCCAAGGGUAUGGCUGUUCGCCAUUUAAAGUGGUACGCGAGCUGGGUUUAGAACGUCGUGAGACAGUUCGGUCCCUAUCUGCCGUGGGCGCUGGAGAACUGAGGGGGGCUGCUCCUAGUACGAGAGGACCGGAGUGGACGCAUCACUGGUGUUCGGGUUGUCAUGCCAAUGGCACUGCCCGGUAGCUAAAUGCGGAAGAGAUAAGUGCUGAAAGCAUCUAAGCACGAAACUUGCCCCGAGAUGAGUUCUCCCUGAGACUUAGAGUCUCCUGAAGGAACGUUGAAGACGACGACGUUGAUAGGCCGGGUGUGUAAGCGCAGCGAUGCGUUGAGCUAACCGGUACUAAUGAACCGUGAGGCUUAACCUUACAACGCCGAAGCUGUU